rnacentral:rRNA from 1 species
UACGUAGGGGGCUAGCGUUGCCCGGAAUCACUGGGCGUAAAGCGCACGUAGGCGGGCUCUUAAGUCGGUGGUGAAAUCCUGGAGCUCAACUCCAGAACUGCCUCCGAUACUGAGAGUCUUCGAGUCCGGGAGAGGUGAGUGGAACUGCGAGUGUAGAGGUGAAAUUCGUAGAUAUUCGCAAGAACACCAGUGGCGAAGGCGGCUCACUGGCCCGGUACUGACGCUGAGGUGCGAAAGCGUGGGGAGCAAACAGG